rnacentral:lncRNA from 1 species
AGCUCAGUUCUGGAAGCAAAUGUUCCUGUGCAGGAAAGAGCUUAAGACUCUUCUCCCCUCUGCUUCUUUCUGGUCUUUACCACCAAGAAGAAGGAGAAAGGGGUGAGAUGACAAUGAAAAUAAGGCCCAGUGUACAGCAAAAGGGAUGUGGCAAGACCGAAGUGACUGUGACUCAGAUGCUAUCAAAGACCAGAUGAAGCCUACCUGGGAAUCCUCCUCUUAAACAGCAGGAGCCCAGACCCUGAGCAGGGAGAGAGUCAGGCCCCAGAUGGAGAAGCUGAUCAACUUCAUAGCAUCACCAUGGAGCCAGAUGUAGAAAUUCUCUAGGGGGUUGCCGAACAACCCUGUCAUCCCUACCUGACCUCAGCUGCUGGGGUCCCUGUGAACACAGUCUGCAAGCUCAUCAUUCCUGUGGGGAGGCGUUGUUUUGCAGUCCGAGCCACCUGGAGAAGAAAAGUGUAAGGUGGGAGUAUGGAGAAAGCUGGCUCACAGACACAGGAGAGCUGCUGAGGCAGACAGAUCAGUUCCAGUGUUCACACAGUGGCAAACUACGGCGACUGCGGCCUAAAAUGGGACCAUCUCCACACAGGAGGUCCUUUGUGGGUGAGCAGCUUGCUAAAGCAAGUACCUGGUGUGCAGUACUGGAGCUUGCCAUCUGAGCCCUGCCACAAAGAGGCAGGGAGGGAGGGUGAGCUGUGCCCGCCCACAACAGUCCCCCAGGCCACCUGAUGGGCCUUAUUCUGUUGUUAUGGACUCUGAAAGUCAGGGAAGUGCCAGGAGGGGCGCGCUCAGAGGGGAACCAAGAACUGGACUGAGAAAAUGAGCUGCAGUCCUUAUUGACCACUAAUGGGAACUGGAUUGCCUGAUACAUCCUGGAGUCUGAACUGGCAGUCCCUAAGGAGCGUUUGCCCCUCGGACACAUUGUUCUGUCCCUCACGAGGACCUGGUUAGCAUCCUCUCCGGGAGGUGGCCUCAUGCCUUGGAGCUUUCUAGAGGCUGUCCCUCCUUUGGUAUAUUCUCACUGGUGGCUUGGCCUGAGCCAGCUGUCUUCCCUGCCUGCCAAGGUCUUUCCUGAGCCAUGGGCUAGGCAGGCUCUUUUUGUUCCCUCACACCAGCCCUUCCCAUAACUUAUUUUGAAAUGGAGAAUGUUUCCCAAUCCACCACUUUCCAGGUGCAUACUGUUCCUCACUGAGUGUCCCCACAGGACAGACAGACGGGGAGAAUAAUGGAUACACUCUCUGCUGCCCUCUCCCUGCACUUGGGUCAACCACCUGAUUUUCUCAGGCAUAAAUGGGAAGAUGGGACUGCGUUCCAGAUGACUCCCAUAGGGGUUCUAUACAAGAAUGGGGAGAUACGGUGUGUAAUGAAGUAAAUUAGAAGUCAUGGCAGCCUCAAGCUAGCUCUUGCUGUUGAAAAACUUCUACAAACCUGUGAACCCUGUUUUCCUCUAUAGUACUACCAUGCAUGCAACUGGGUUUGUAACUAACAGAGCUCUGAAUGUACUGGCUUACAAUAUCCUAGUAGGAACCGAGAAGACAGCAUAGUUAAUAAAGAAACCCCUCUGUGAACAAGAGGACCUGAAUUCAAGUCCUAGAACCCAGGCCAAAAAAGUUGGACUUGGUGCACACAUUUAUAAUCCCUGCCUUGAGAAGGUAGGGAUAGAAGAAUUCCUAGGGUUUACUGACCAGUCAGUCAAUGUUGUGAGCCCCAGGCGAGACACCUUGUCUCAAAAAAAAAAAAAAAAAAAAAAUGUCGAAAGUGGGCAUGGUAUCUCUUUAGUUCACAUCAGGAGUUCCUUCACAGUAGAUGAUGAGGGUGCUCCAGUUUGAAAGACAGCCAUAUUGUGUUCACAUAUACUGGAAGUUGGAUCCAUUUCUGCCUUUUCAAAAAGGCAAAAAUAUACUAUCCCGCCCACUUUUUCUUGCUCUGAGGAAAGCCAGCUGAGACUUGCACAGGAACCAGAGCCGGAACAGCUAUCCACGGCCAGAGGACUCAGCCUGAGAGUAUCAUGGGUGAGCUCUGAGGAAACCUCUGCCCUAGGUGUGCCCUCUGAUGACUGCGCCCUGGCAGACCUUUGACUUCAGCCUCUGGAACUGCUAGAGCUGGAGGACUCACAGAACUAACCUGCAAAACUCAGAGAAGAAUAAACAUUUUUGUUUGUUUAUUUCAGCUGCUAAAUUUGGACCUCACUUGUUACAUGGCGUUAGCUGACUAGUACAAUCAUUUUCUAGCUAGACCCACUCCAGAUUUCUGUUACUAAGAGGAAAGGAGAUAGGAAUUGAGGGGCAACCUACAACUCCCUUCACAUGGAGCUACCAGUAGGACUAUUGUGAAAAUGAAAGGAGCUACUGCCAAAAUGGAGCUAGUACGGAGAAGUAUCUGGGGAGAAGUGGUCAUUAAUGAAGGCCCGUGUCCCAUCCGGUCAAGCUUUGCCAGGAGACACGUGAUGGCAAUUCUUGGUUGUCAACUUGACUAUAUCUGGAAUGAACUACAAUCCAGAAAUGGGGGGGACACACUCAUGACCCGUGUCUGAAGGCUGGAAAAGCUUUUGAUUCAGAUCUUGAGGUGGGGUGGCACAUGCUCUUAAUCUGGAUCAACACACAUCUUCAAUCCAGGUCUUCAGGCACACCUUUAACCUGGGCGAGACCUUCUGCUGGAGGCCUAUAGAAGGACAAUGGAAGAAGGAAGCAGUCAUUCCUUUUCUGCGUGCACCCACUUUGCCAGCACAUCCACUGAAGCCUCCUUUAGGAUUCCAGCUUGUACAGAGGACCAGCUGAAACACCCAGCCUCGUGGGACUGAGCAAAUGUGAGAUUCUUGGAUUUUCCAUUCACGGCUGGCCAUUGUUGGGUUAGUUGGACUGCAGAUGUCAAUCAUUGCAAUAGAUUCCAUAUAUAUUCCAUGACUCUAGAGAAUCCUGACUAAUACAAGACACAAUGGGGCUGUUUC